rnacentral:misc_RNA from 1 species
GCCGAUAUAGUGACCCCAAAUUUGAAAGAGGCUUCUGCUUUACUAGGCGGUGUGCCAUUGGAAACAAUUGCCGACAUGCGUUCUGCUGCAAAAGCAAUACAUGACAUUGGUCCAAGAAAUGUACUCGUGAAAGGAGGCGAUCUCCCUGCUUCUCUUGAUGCUGUGGAUGUGUUUUAUGAUGGGAAUGAUUUCUAUGAGUUUCGGUCCUCACGCAUAAUGACACCAAAUACACAUGGAACUGGCUGCACUUUGGCUUCUAGUGUUGCAGCUGAACUAGCAAAGGGUUCUCAAAUGCUUUCUGCUGUUAAGGUAGCUAAACGCUAUGUUGAAGCUGUUUUAUCUUAUAGUAAGAACAUUGCCAUUGGAGGCGGGUGUCAAGGUCCUAUGGAUCAUCUGUUGAAGCUUAAAAGUAACGUUCAGCGGCGACGUUUUGAUCCUUCUGAUCUCUUUCUCUAUGCUGUUACUGACUCAAGGAUGAACAAAAAGUGGGGUCGUUCAAUAGUUGAUGCAGUAAAGGCUGCCAUAGAAGGAGGUGCCUCCAUUAUUCAGCUGAGGGAAAAGGAGGUUGAAACUGGUGAUUUUCUGGAAGCAGCAAAAGCUUGUUUAAAAAUAUGCCGAGUUCAUGGUGUUCCUCUGCUGAUUAAUGAUAGGAUUGAUGUAGCUCUUGCUAGUGAUGCUGAUGGUGUUCAUAUUGGACAGUCUGACAUGCCUGCUCAUGUUGCGCGGGCUCUUCUUGGGCCUGACAAAAUCAUUGGUGUAUCAUGCAAAACACCGGAGCACGCUCAGCAAGCAUGGAUAGAUGGGGCUGAUUACAUCGGCUCUGGUGGUGUAUAUCCUACCAAUACCAAAGAGAACAAUAAAACAAUUGGUUUGGAUGGUCUAAAAACUGUUUGUGUGUCUUCCAAAUUACCAGUUGUAGCCAUUGGCGGCAUAGGCAUGUCUAAUGCGCAGGCUGUAAUGCAACUAGGGGUCCCAAACCUGAAAGGCGUUGCUGUUGUAUCUGCUCUGUUUGAUAGGGAAUGUGUUAUGACUGAGACCAGAAAGUUACUUGAAGUGCUCAAGGAGUCUACCAAAAUAGCAAAAUGAAGAAAUGCUGGUGAUCACCAUACAUUCUCUUACAGGCAAUGCUACCCCGAUUUUUGUUACUAAAAUAUUUCUUGAUCAAAUUUUUGGAAGUGAACUUUGGUCUAGAGAAGUUAAUACAGGCACCGGAAUGUUGAUAUCCUUUUGUCAAUGCUGUGCUAGAGAGGUUUAUGAUAUUUCACUUAUCUUCUACAGUUUACUGUACGUAUUCAUUGCCAAGGUUGAUGUUUUACUUUUCUU